rfam:Octopus bimaculoides Scaffold16004_contig_23, whole genome shotgun sequence.
UUCUGGCUGACGAAACACAACAGGUCGAAACACCGGUGUCCCAGAA